GCGCUGUCGCCCGGCCGGUAGCUAAGGAGGCCCAGCUGUGAUCCCGAGGCUUUGUAGGCGCCGCAGCCCUGGCCCUCUAGAGGCCGACGGAGGAGUGCGGGGGAAGUUAGCUUGCGCCUGUCUCGUCAGCCGUGCACGAGAAAAAAAAGGACCUUCGAGAAGAACAAGGGAGGGCAAGAGUUACCGAGUACAGGGACAUCUAUGUGGCCGCUCUGCUUUCCCGCCGUCACCUGCUGUUGAACUCCGGCCGCAUCGCGGUGUCCGGAGCCGCCUGGCCUGGAGUAUGCGCUGAGCGUCACCUAGGCAACCACCCCUGCACCUGUGGAUCAGGUGGGGGAAAGGGACCGACCGCGUUCUUGUCCUGCUAGAGUUCGACUCCGCCUGGGGCUUGGUCUCUGCUUCUUGAAAACAUUGUUUUUUUAUUUUGUUUCUGUUUUGUUUUGUUUUGAGACAGGGUCUCGCUCUGUUGCCAAGGGUAGAAUGCAGUGUCGGGAUCAUAGCUCACUACAGACUUGACAUCCUGGACUCAAGAGAUCCUCCUGUGUCAGCCUCCCGAGUAGCUGGGACCACUGGCGCGCGACAAAUAAUUUGAAAGUGGGAGGAGGGGAACAGAACCACAUCAAAUGGCAGAUAUCAUAGAAUGAGAACUGAAUAUACGCGUUUUGUGGGAAACGCGUUCUUUUCCCCUUUCUCUAAGAUUCGCUUUUAAUUCACUAGCCACUAACCAGUUACCUAUCUCAUUACAGAUAUAAAAAACAAAACGUAGUAGUGCCUUUUUAAGUAUGAGUUACUUGUUAUUUAUAUAUCACUUUCUUCCAUGCUAUCGUUGAACUGUCUUUGAUGUAGCACGACCUUAAAAGCAGAGCUUUUAUACCACAAGAUCUUUCAACCCUUGUGAAAUUUAACCACCCAUUGAGAUUCACCUCUUUAGAGAACUAGAAAUUUUUUCCUAAAAUAUAUUUCAAAAAGUUGUUGAGAUACAGUACACAGGAAGAAACCUAAGAAAUGCUGAUUAUUUGUAGUCACAAGCAUUAAUAAGUGCUUUGCUACGAGGAAGUGUCUGAGAAACUAUUCGUGUAUUUUUCUUAAACAACCUAGGCUUGCACAGGAUCACAAAGAAAAAUCUUAAAUUCAAAGUCCGCUGGAGAAGAAAGAAAAUCAAAAUGGCUACAAUUGGUGUUGUGUAUUAAAUAAAAUUAAAAGUACAAAGAAAGACCCAGUCAGUACUAACUAGUACUAUCAAGAUCACAUUCCUCUCCCACUUUUGCACACUCCAUUCCUCUUUAAGAAGAUAAAUCCUUAACCGUCUGUUUUUCCUAGCUGGUCACAAAGACAAAAUACUAGUAAGUACUUUGGAUUUCUUCACCAUCCACAACCAAAUAACAGCCUAACCUGUCUAUUUUGCUUUUGCCAUCUUUCCUAAAUUCUCCAUGUUUUUCUUCUGGACCAUGCCAUCCAUCUCCUUGAAAUUCACUUCCUAGCCUCCAGUUAUUCCUUCCUCCAGUCUAUUCUCAUGAACACCGGAUGUGUUUUCCCAAAGCACAGGUGAGCUUAGGUUAGUCACCUGCUCAAAAACAUCCAAUAACUUCCCAGUGUUUAGAACACUCUCUUCAAACUUUCUCCACGUUCUUUCUAGUCAUACACUCUAACAAUCCCGCUUCCUUUUUACAUUCACACUGACUAUGCUCCAAGAGGAAUGUAAAGAAGCAAUAUAUGUUCUGGUUGAGAUAAGGCAUGUACCAUAAAAAGUUAAGAAAGAAGCCAAUCCAAGGAUGUAUGAAUAACAGUAUAAGAUGAUAGGAAAGAUGGCACAGGCAACAUAGCUUGGUCAAGCAGGUGGAGCAAUAGGCACAAUCUCUUGGGAGAAGUGAGUAACACUAAUGCUUUGUCUAAUAAAGUAAUUCCUUACAGUUCUAUGGUA
ensembl:lncRNA VPS13C-DT VPS13C divergent transcript